rnacentral:rRNA from 1 species
CCCUUAGAUGUUCUGGGCCGCACGCGCGCUACACUGAUGCAUUCAACAAGCCUAGCCUUGACCGAGAGGUCCGGGUAAUCUUUGAAACUGCAUCGUGAUGGGGCUAGAUUAUUGCAAUUAUUAAUCUUCAACGAGGAAUGCCUAGUAAGCGUGAUUCAUCAAAUCGCGUUGAUUACGUCCCUGCCCUUUGUACACACCGCCCGUCGCUCCUACCGAUUGAACGUUUUAGUGAGGUACUCGGACUGAGCCUCAGAAGAUUCACGUCUUUUGUGCUGCUCGGGAAGAUUCCCAAACUUGAGCGUUUAGAGGAAGUAAAAGUCGUAACA